rnacentral:lncRNA from 8 species
AUGCUGCUAGGUGACCUAAACUGGGACAUGCUUAACACCCCAGCCAUCCUACAAUCUAAGCUUGAUGCCCUCAAUCUCACACAAAUGAUCAAUGAACCUACCAGGUACCACCCCAAAGCCGUAAACAUGGGCACCCUCAUAGAUAUCAUCCUAACCAACUUGCCCUCUAUAUACACCUCGGCUGUUUUCAAUCAAGAUCUCAGCGAUCACUGCCUCAUUGCCUGCAUCCGUAAUGGGUCAGCGGUCAAACGACCUCCACUCAUCACUGUCAAACGCUCCCUGAAACACUUCAGCAAGCAGGCCUUGCUAAUCGACCUGGCCCGGGUAUCCUGGAAGGAUAUUGACCUCAUCCCGUCAGUAGAGGAUGCCUGGUUAUUUUUUUUAAAUGCCUUCCUCACCAUCUUAAAUAAGCAUGCCCCAUUCAAGAAAUUUAGAACCAGGAACAGAUAUAGCCCUUGGUUCUCUCCAGACCUGAUUGCCCUUAACCAACACAAAAACAUCCUGUGGCGUUCUGCAUUAGCAUCGAACAGCCCCCGUGAUAUGCAACUUUUCAGGGAAGUUAGAAACCAAUAUACACAGGCAGAUAGAAAAGCCAAGGCUAGCUUUUUCAAGCAGAAAUUUGCUUCCUGCAACACAAACUCAAAAACGUUCUGGGACACUGUAAAGUCCAUGGAGAAUAAGAGCACCUCCUCCCAGCUGCCCACUGCACUGAGGAUAGGAAACUCUGUCACCACCGAUAAAUCCACUAUAAUUAAGAAUUUCAAUAAGCAUUUUUCUACGGCUGGCCAUGCUUUCCACCUGGCUACCCCUAACCCGGUCAACAGCACUGCACCCCCCACAGCAACUCGCCCAAGCCUUCCCCAUUUCUUCUUCUCCCAAAUCCAGUCAGCUGAUGUUCUGAAAGUGCUGCAAAAUCUGAAACAAUACUGUGCAGCCGUGUUCAUUGACCUGGCCAAGGCUUCCGACUCUGUCAAUCACCACAUCCUCAUCGGCAGACUCAAUAGCCUUGGUUUCUCAAAUGAUUGCCUCGCCUGGUUCACCAACAACUUCUCUGAUAGAGUUCAGUGUGUCAAAUCGGAGGGCCUGUUGUCCGGACCUCUGGCAGUCUCUAUGAGGGUGCCACAGGGUUCAAUUCUUGGGCCGACUCUCUUCUCUGUAUACAUCAAUGAUGUCGCUCUUGCUGCUGGUGAAUCUCUGAUCCACCUCUACGCAGACGACACCAUUCUGUAUACUUCUGGCCCUUCUUUGGACACUGUAUUAACAACCCUGUAUUAA